GUGGCAGAAGCAAAACAAAGCCCGGCACAGCUGCAAGCUGCUGGGAGCAAAGAGAGGACACAGCCACAAAGAAGCAUCGCCUCUGUGCCCAUUCGGACGAAGGAACCAGAGCCACACAGGAAAAGGUCAAAGCAGCAGCGGCCUGGCUCUCCGGGUGAGGCAGGUGGGCAGGAGCAUCAGGGUGGGCAUCCCCUCUGACCAUCAACACUGUUUGCAAGAAUGGGGCGGUUAUUUGAAAUUGUUAAGACAUCACCUCACUCCUGUGUAGAUUUUAAACGUGCAGUGUCACUUUGAAAAUGUUCUAUGUGAAAAUCUCAUACAAACCAUUUUUAAAUAUUAUUUAAAACAUUGACAUUAUGACCAAAGUCUGAGAGACAACCUUGUCCCCAGUUCCUACCUCCUACAUGCCCCAGCAUGCCAAUCAACAAGCUGAGCUUUUAGGAGUUAGCUGUAGUUUUGUUUUCUGCCCUCUGGUUCUAGUAUUUGGAUAUGCAGGGAGGGUGACCUUGUGACAGUCAGCUGCAAGGCUGGUCUGAGGCUUCUUCACUUUUAUUUGUUUUGGUCAAGAUUCCCAGGUUUAUUAUGUGAUUAUCAUUUUUCUUUAACACUAACUUCAACCUCUGCUAUUGGUCAGAACUUUAUAUGUCAUCUGUCCUUUGACCAUCUUUAAUCUAUGGAGUGAAACAGGUUGUUAAAACCUUUCUGCCUCAGGACAUUGAAAACAUCAUGCUUAUCAUACAUAAAAACGCUGAUUACCUCUGUGGCAGACUGGUGAAAUCUCCAGGGUGUAACCUAGCCCCUGACCAAAUGACUGCUGGAUAUUACCCACAGCUCAUAAAAUCCUCUUAGUUUGAAGGAUUCUUUAAAGUAGUACAACAAGUCAGUACCACUAUCAUACAGACUUGACAGAUUCUAUGCCGGAUGCACUUCAUGACACAAAAGGGCUUUAAACACCGACACUUCUCAAGAAUCCCCAAAUUGUUCCUCUGGCCACCUUCGUAGUACAAGUGCUCCUCUACAAUGCAAACUUUAUCAACUGUCAGUGCCCCCUUCAAGAUUCACCGAUCCACAACCAGGAUCAGAAGGACAAUAGAAGGCAAUCACUCCCUCCACCAAUCUCCUGCCUAGCUCAACCUGUGUGGAACUACUCACCUCAUCUACACCAAGGUCCACUGUUUCUUGUUCCCUGCAUCCGUUUGAAGACCUUUCCAUCAGAAUCUUCAAGCCGCUCCUCUGGUGGCUCUCCUGGCACAAGAACUCCUCUGUAACUCAUCACUCACUGACCUGCCUGUCCACCCUUCAAUGUUUCACUGAUCAACAACUCCAACAAGGAAAAGAAGCACCAAAGGAGACAUUAAUAACUCCACCAAUCUGGAUAUCCUUGCCUCCUCUGCACCGAACCACCACACUGCUCCUCCAGCAGUCCUCCUGGCUCACCUGCUUGUCCAUCCUUCAACAAUUCACUGAUCAACAACUCCAACCUGGAAAAAAAGGACAAAAUAACACAAUGACUAACUCCACCAAUGACAAAGCUCCUUCCUAGCUCAACCUGUGUGGAUAUACUCAGCACAUCUGCACCAGUAAGAAUUUGUCUCCUUUCCUUUUACAACACAUUCUCAAUCCAUUCCAGUUUAAGUUAGUAAUCCACUUACCUUUCCUUUUAAAGAGGCACUUUUUUCUUGAGGCAGACGCCACAUUGUUCACCUCCUACAAGUGAAAUCUGUUUUUUCUGUCAGUACUCAGAUGCUGGAUUCCAGCGUAUUGUUCCUCAGUCCCUCCAUCUGUUUUGACAACUCUUCUUAAGAACCGCCCUCCUGGCACACCUGCCUUUCCAUCCUUCAGAGAUUCACCAUAGUCACCUUGCCUGCACCAACCAGCAGGUCUCCUGAGGAAGACUACAGACUGUUCACCUCCUACAAGUGAUUUUCUGGCUGACCUCCUGGAACAAUGGCUCUUCUUUAAAUCAUCGUUCCCUCACCUCCUGGUGGACCCUCCAACAUUUCACAGAGCCACAACUCACACCUUGACAAGAAAGACAAAAGACACUUGUCAUCUCCACCAAUCUCCUGCCUAACUCAACCAGUGUGGAUAAAGUCAUCUUGUCUGCACCAUGCCGUCCUGGGUUCUUGAUCCAUAGCAAGAAGAAUCAUCAAACUUUGCAGAUUCACCAAUAAACCUUUUAAACUUUC